GCCAGCAGUAACAGCAUAUCAGACAAGAUCAAGCAACAGAGAACAUGCCUGGCCACUGGUGGCUAGUUGUCUACCAGAGCUCUCUAUUUCCCUAAGAGCAGCUGGGCUUACUGAAACUGUCUAAAUUAAGACGAAAAUCUACCCUGCAGCCUCACACAAACGAGCUGACCAUAUUUGCCAUAAGGAAGCAAUGGAGUCUAAAAGUGCUGAGUCUCGAUGAUCAUCAGCAAAGGCAAGAGCAUCAGAAGGCGCCUACACAGUUUCAGGCCAACUCGCACCAUUGAUCUCUCCAACCACACAUCAGACACACCGGCCUUUCCUCGUAUCUGCUUCGAGUCACUUUGAUAAACAUUUCUCAUAAUCAGGUGCUCUUAUUACAGGCAGGGAUGCAGUUAGCAGGCAUACAGUAAAAAGAAAAUAAAGGGGCCGUCUUAAACUUACAAUAUUAACUAUUGUGCCAGACAAGUGUAUAAGUAGGCUAACGAUAUCUAAAUUCCGGAGCCGUGUAUUCCUAUAGACCUUAGUAGUAAUGACUUCAUAAACUUCUUCAAUGAAAAGAUUUUAACUAUUAGAGGCAAGAUU